UGAAGCGGUUAAAAUGGAACUACACUUUCGACGAGGGAAUUAUGAAAAUCAAAGUGUUGGGAUAGAAAUGGUUCUUUUGUCUAGUUAAGUUAUCUUGCUGAGUAUGCUACAAAAUGAAGAAUAAUGAAGUAAUGACGAACACGCUUAAUAAAACACCUAUUUCAAGAAUACAACAGUCAUCGAGAAGAUCAAGGCAGGCCUUCAAAUCUCCGGUUCAAAAUGUGGUGUCUGAUGGCAGUCUGAUGGUUGAUGAGAAACAAAGUGUGCUUGUUGAGAUCAAGACAUUGGAAGAAAGAGAGAAGAAUGUCACUGCACAGAUCAACCAGCUUUGUGAGGAAGGUCUAAAGGAAGAAGAGCUGGUCAUCCACAUUGAGAAGCUGCAUGAAUACAACGAAAUCAAGGACAUUGGCCUAGUUUUGAUUGGCAGAAUAGCUCUCCAACAAGGUGUUACCACGAAGCAGCUGUAUGGAAGGUUUCAUCUCAAUCUUGAUGACUGAUGCCCAUAUCAAUGAUGCCCCAAGCCAAGUUCUCCAAUGCAACCGACCAUGAAUGAUGUCUAUCGCGAGGUGAAGGAAGGUCCAUUCCGCGGACUCCGUAUGGAAGGCGUGUGCCAAGCAGCCGACCGACGACGUGGCGGAGUCCAAAGCACGGUACGCUUUGUGUCUCUUGUCGGGCGCCCCUAGGGGACCCUGUCGUUCGGUUCCACGACUGAGGGGGGGUUCAGCAUGAGGGCGUGUCGUCUUCGUUCAUUUUGCCAUUUCAACGCGAAAAAGAGAGGUUUUUAUAUUAAAUAGGCCUUCCCUCUCUUACGCUGUUGAAGGGCUUAAGAAAGUUGACGACAUGGUGCGGGAUGGAGUCCGGGACGGGCUCCGGACUCGCCUUUGCCGUUAAUCAGACGGCUCGCACUUAACUUGAUGGGUUAACCCUCUAUGCUCUCCGGCGGCAGUCGUAGAAGAUCAGGCACUGAAGUAGAUGAUAUCACAACAAACAGCAUCGACGGAAAGACCACCUCCGAAUGGAAGGAAGAGGGUCGGUGCGAUGGGGCAUGCUUGAGGAGGGCUGAAGAUGCACGAUCGUGGCGUGACAUACGUCUGGGGAUGGAUUCGGACGCGAGCAAGAUGUGUGCCGCAUUUAGGGUAACUUCAUUUCAUUAUUUUUGAACCCAAUUUUAAAAAUUAUGAGCGAUUUAAAUCGUUAAGAUUCUUUUCAGGAAGAGCAUCCGGGAGACCAGUGCGAAGCAAGAUCCAUCUUGCAGAGCCAAGAACACCGCAGAGAGCCCAGCGUGACGCAGACCCCACUAUACAGAGGUUUGAACAUGAUCCCAGUUUGAACACGACAAGGACUUGGACAACAGCCGUGCCUGGCCACCUGACACGAUCCUGCCAAGGGAAGCGGUUGUGCCGUUAUCUUUUGAUCGAUUCCAAACGGCCAGACAGCCGAUGGAGAAUGCUGCAGUGUUACUUCAGGUAAGCAGCCAGACAGCCGAUGGAGAAUGCUGCAGUGUUACUUCAGGUAAGCGGCCAGACAGCCGAUGGAGAAUGCUGCAGUGUUACUUCAGUAUUCCCAAAAGAUGGGUAACACCAGAAAAAGGGAACCACUCGGCUCGAACUGCUGGAAAUGACACAGAAGUGAAAGUCCUCGUCUGGAGCCGGCAUCACCACAUCCAGGUCACAGGAUAUUCAUCACCACGACCAGGGCGUCGCUCCAACUGCUGGAAAUGACGCUCUCAAGGAUGUGCAUUGUAAGUGGAGGUUGCAGAGAGUUUGCACCACCACACCCAGUCCUGGAUGGAAACAGAAUUUAUGAUCUAAUCAAAUGGAAGACCGCAAUUGUCCUGAGAUGACGAGGUUAAGUAGAAUUGUCCACAGACGUGCACGGAUAAUGAAAGUCUUGUACAUCCAGGGGACGGAAGAGGUAUCCCGGGGCUCAGUACGCAUACCAAUCCUGGAACAGACUCUCUCGAUAACACACGUGUUUAUAUGCACAGACGUUUUCAUCGCGUAUCGUAUUCUUAAACGCAAACACAAUUCUUAGUUCAGAUUGAAUCGCAAACGAAAGAUUCGCGAAAGCCACGGACCAUCGCUAGACUAUUUUAUUUUCUUCGCUCAGAUCGAACUGUUGAAAAUGUGGAUUAUAUUUAUGUACUUCAUUUGAACCACAAACGAAGGAUUUGGACAAGAUGCGUACCUCUAACCCCUUCAUUUGACGAGACGUGAUACCAAUCUCACAAGCACUGGAUGACGGCAUGCUUCAGGAAUCUCUUUACGACUGAUGCCAUGUGACGACGGGGGCACAUCUUGAGGCAAGAUGACACAAUGGAUGUGGAACCCUCGGCCCCUGAAUGAUUGUCGCUAUGGGAGUCAUUAGCAACAGACUUUCUCUGGUGUAGUAUUGUAUAUUCGCUACCUGUAGGCCUCUGCAGAAGGAUACGUUGUAUUUUAUCGAAAUAUCUGAUUGAAAGGUGGUUUCAUUGCAAAUCUCAAUAUCAUCCGAUGGUAAAAAGCCUACUUCCAUUUUGUGGCUGUGACAAAAUGUCUGAACACAUUUGGAAGGUCUUUAAAAGACUUUCCAUCAGUCAUCGUCGGUCACUCCUCCUAGAUGAUUGUUGAUUAAGAACCAGAACCAGAUCCAAAUAAGUCGAGGUUCUGAUGUACCAGGUCUAAAUUUACUAUCGAGCUGUUAACAUUUACUUCAUUUUUCUCCGAAAUCACCAUAUCGAGCUGUUAAAAUUUACUUCAUUUUUCUCCGAAAUCACCAAAUUAUCAGAUAUUUCAAUUUUCCCAUCGAAUGAGACAUGGGGUCCACGUGAUUCUGGUUGGUUCGACCCCAGCCAACCAGAACAUGUGUUGUCUUUGAUGGAACCGUAGGCCUUAUGAACUUUCUCGAUCCAUUCAGUACCACGAAUACCUGCGUUUAUUCCAUUCGGCUUCCGAGACCUGAUAGUGCCGGUCUCCAUUUGGGACAGAUAUGAAAUAGGCAAACUCAAACUCUAGCCUCCAUUUUAUACAAGUAUCUUAAAUUUCCUUAAACACGGUAAUUAUCCGGGUGCCUUUCAUUCUUGGUUUCAUCAAUGAUAUGAUAACAAAGGUUAUCCCCAAGACCAAAACAAAUGCAAAAGAAUCGGGCAAAUUCAUUUCCAAAUUUUGAGAUUUCGUUGAAAUAUUUUGUUGAUUGAAAUUUUUCCAAAACAUUCCAAAUUGAUGUGGUUCCUGACCUUGCGGUCAAGUGGAAGAGGAGCUCAGUCUUUUCAUGAUAAUUAGUCCAGAAAGAUUCAUCUUGUUUCUUCCUGUGAGGUAUAAAGAUAACAACUGCCCCAUCAAGAAGUUUCCUGUGGUACAGAAUGGGUCAAGCAAGCUGUCGCCAACGUCAAUGUCUGACGUUUUAUGUAUUAAUUUGUUAUGUUUGUUUGUAUAAUGAUACAAUAUGUGAAAUUUACAUAUAAAAGCCAUAAUACAUGUAAAGGUGAAUUCAAAAAGUUACUUCUAUUGUUAAACUCGUCCAAAGCAACCGCUUUUGUCAUGAUGAGAAGACUGAUCUGAACGCCUGAUCUAGAGGGGCCCCUUUUGUCAUGCAAAUGAGAUCACAGCACGGUCCUGUUGAUCAUGACGAAAUUGGUUCUUUUGUUAUUUAAAUAACCCACUCACCGAUGUCGUGCUGUUUCGUAUCAAUGAGGUCAAGGUUUGUGACCUGAAUACACCACAGCAGUUCACCUUGCUUGCAUUUACAAUGGUUGUCGCUGCAUGCGACUCAAUUUAUGUUUUUCCUGAUCAAAAACUAUGUAGAUAUUCAGUGGAAAACGGUUUCCCAAACAAAAUGAACAUAAACAUAAGGGGCCAAAUUUACAAAGGGUGUUUAGCUUAAAACAGCGUUUAAUGUCUGAAUAGACAGAGUCAGGGCCUUGGAGGGUUUCUUCAUGAAAACCGCAUUAGGCCCUGAAACUGAUUAUGUAGAAUUUACACGCGUCUAACUCUUAAACACCCUUCGUAAAUUCGGCCCUAGAUGUUUUCAACCGGACUGUGCAAGACGGCAUGUAUAACAAUGUGUCCCAAAAGUGUUACAUGUAUCAAUGGCUCUUUGCUUUAUUUUAGAAAUUUUGAAUUUCACAAAUUUUGAAUUUCACACUAUUUAUUGUGUUGUUUACUCGGAGUUGUCUUUUGUCUCUAUCAAACUGGCUUUGCCGGCAAGUUCCUCAUAAAGCGAUCGUUCCAAAUGAUGGGUUGCGGGUUUCCCCUGCCUUGUACCUACAUUCUAAAUUGCCCUCAUGCUCUUUGCACAGUUAUAGAAGUGUGAGGCGCCGUCCACUCAAAAAUGUAAAUAGUUUUUGUUCAGAAUAUGCUUGCAUAUUAUCGCUGUUUUGGAGAAUGAAUUGCCCUGUGGUGUCAUUGUUUUGAUAUUGUUCUGUAAAAUCUUGAUAAAUUCUUGGAAUGUACAGACUGAAAUAAAAAAUUCAUCAACAGA